rnacentral:tRNA from 1 species
GGGCAGGGCCGGACGGGACCGGGCGGACUCAUAAUCCGCCGGUCGUGGGUUCGAGCCCCACCCGCCCCA